CGGGACGGGUGGAGGUAACGACGUGGAAAACCGUAGCCGUAUACUGGGGAGUAACACUUAGAAAUAAGGUGCUAAUACCGCAUAAGCGCACAGCUUCGCAUGAAGUGGUGUGAAAAACUCUGGUGGUAUACGAUGGUUCCGCGUCUGAUUAGCUUGUUGGUGGGGUAAUGGCUCACCAAGGCGACGAUCAGUAGCCGGCCUGAGAGGGUGAACGGCCACAUUGGGACUGAGACACGGCCCAAACUCCUACGGGAGGCAGCAG
rnacentral:rRNA from 1 species